CUCGGCGCCGCCGGCCGGCUGGCAGGAGGCCUUCGGACGGUACGGUCCCGAGUACGGCGCUGAGUACCAGAAGUACCCGCCACAGCAGCCGGCGUACCCGCAGCACUUCAGCGUGUACCGCGCCGAGGAGCCGCGCCGCGUCAACGGCCGCUACCCGGCUGAGUAUGAUGAGCAGUUCCGCGGCCAGGCCGGCGCCAAGCCGCC